AAGUCGUAACAAGGUUUCCGUAGGUGAACCUGCGGAAGGAUCAUUAACGAAUCAACGGGGGGAGGUUGUUGGAGGGAGGAGUGUGUCAAUAAACCUGUUUGUUGCUCACACUUAUCCAUCCCAUCUCCCCUUUACUACAUAAACCCAAGGGUCUGCUGGAAACAGCGACCUUGGUGGUCUAUUCCUCCGGGUCUAGGCUUUGUUUGGGUGUUGUUGUGUGAAUGGGGGAGAGGUCUUUAAGGUGAUUCAUCUUAAUACACCCGCCCACCACACAUACUUCACCAUACAUAAACACGUUUAUUUUCAUGUUUGACUUACAUAUUAUCAUUAAAAUGAUCAUAUACAACUUUUAACAAUGGAUCUCUUGGCUCUU
rnacentral:misc_RNA from 1 species